rnacentral:rRNA from 1 species
AUUCCAGCUCCAAUAGCGUAUAUUAAAGUUGUUGCGGUAAAAAAGCUCGUAGUUGGAUUUCUGUCGAGAACAGCCGGUCACGAUUUUGUCGUUGUAUCUGGUUUGGUCUUGGCAUCCUCUUGGGGAACAUUUCUGCGCUUCACUGCGUGGAGUGGUAUUCAAGACUUUUACUUUGAGGAAAUUAGAGUGUUCACGGCAGGCAAUCGCCCUGAAUAUAUUAGCAUGGAAUAAUGAUAUAGGACCUUGGUUCUAUUUUGUUGGUUUCUAGAACUAAGGUAAUGAUUAAUAGGGACAAUUGGGGGCAUUCGUAUUAACGCGUCAGAGGUGGAAUUCUUAGAUUGCGUAACGACGAACUACUGCGAAAGCAUUUGCCAAGGAUGUUUUCAUCA